CCACCCCUAGUUCAGGUCAUAGUUUCUCUGCUCUCUGGUGCUCUGCAUUAAGGCUGACUAACAGUCUUCACAUUUCACAGUAUGUAGAUAUUAACACAAAUUAAUCAAGAGUAAUAAUUGUAUUUUAAUUAAAUAAUUUCUCUCCCCAGAAAUAAGUCUCAAAAUAAAGCCACAUUCCCAUGCUUUGAGAUUCUUACACCUCAACAAUACAUGAUUGACAAGGAAUUCUUGCGCAUAUCGACACUACCGCUCUUAUCUACAUUCCUUUCUGAGCUAGACUUGUACACUACACAUGAUGGAGAUCUUUAGAGGUAAAGGUGAAGGGCUGGAAGAAAAAUGAGACACAUCAUGGGGACCAUCUCCAAGGAUGACAAAAUACAUACAAGACGAGCAUCCAUCCUGAAGU